rnacentral:rRNA from 1 species
AACGAACGCUGGCGGCAGGCUUAACACAUGCAAGUCGAGCGCCCCGCACGGGGAGCGGCAGACGGGUGAGUAACGUGUGGGAACGUACCUUUUGGUUCGGAACAACUCCGGGAAACUGGAGCUAAUACCGGAUAAGCCCUAACGGGGAAAGAUUUAUCGCCGAAAGAUCGGCCCGCGUCUGAUUAGCUAGUUGGUGAGGUAACGGCUCACCAAGGCGACGAUCAGUAGCUGGUCUGAGAGGAUGAUCAGCCACACUGGGACUGAGACACGGCCCAGACUCCUACGGGAGGCAGCAGUGGGGAAUAUUGGACAAUGGGCGCAAGCCUGAUCCAGCCAUGCCGCGUGAGUGAUGAAGGCCUUAGGGUUGUAAAGCUCUUUUGUCCGGGAAGAUAAUGACUGUACCGGAAGAAUAAGCCCCGGCUAACUUCGUG